CAUCCGAAUCAGGUCAAAAUCAGAACGUCACAAACUUUAUAGGGAGAGAAAGAGAAGGGGAAAGGGAACGAGAGAGAGAGAGAGAGAGAGAGAGAUGGGGUGUUUUGCUUGCUUCGAUGGUGGCAAGCAACAGAGAAAGGAAGAAGAACGGUUAGCCUCUCUAGAAGCUCGAUCUAAAGCUGCCGAUGCCGCCCAGAAGAGGCAGGAGCAAUUUGAUCAGUCUGCUGCAGGAAAAGCUGCACGUGCACAGCUAGCAGCAGCUGCAAAGCAAUCUGCAAACUCUAACAAAGGCGAACCAGUUCUUAAGUGGCAGGUGGGAUGAAUGAUUCAACUUUUUCUCUACUCAACGGCAACCACUUAUUUUGGACACACGAGGAUACGCGAGGAAAAAUAAACUAUCGAAGGCCCUGCAGAUGUUCAAAGAUGUCGAUCGAAGGCACUUAUGAGUGUUUGAGAGUACUAAUCUCUCUUUCAUUAGUCUUCUUGUGUUCGUCAAGCCUUCAAAGCGUCUGCUGUAAAUGGUUCUUUUGUCCAGAUCUACUUGGAAUAAAUAAUUAUGUAAUACAAACAGAAAAAUAAAGUUGAAUGUAAAAUGCAUCUUUGGUCCAGGUCUGAUCUCUGUAUAGAAAAAUUUGUGAAAAUAAAGUUGAAUGCAAAUGCUUCUGUGGUCCAGGUCUGAUCUCUGUACAGCAAAAUUUGUUACCAUUUCUUCUUUGUUUUCUUGUAGAUUAUAUCAUUCUCCAUCAUAUUGUUGAUAGAA